rnacentral:tRNA from 1 species
UUAAUUAAAGCCAAAAAAGAGGCAAACUGUUGUUAACAGUUGAAUUGAAUAAAAUUCUAAUUAAAA